rnacentral:ncRNA from 2 species
AAGACGAUGCAGGGGAACUCCUCUGGGAGUUGAGAAGGCCGUGAGGCCGACCCUUGGAACCUGUUGGCUAAAACCAGCGGAGGGAGCAUGACGCGGCCGAGU